rnacentral:rRNA from 1 species
GACGAACGCUUGCGGCGUGCCUAAUGUAUGCAAGUCGAGCGGAUCUUAUUCCUUCGGGAGUAAGGUGAGCGGCGAACGGUUGAGUAACACGUAGGCAACCUGCCCCGAAGUGGGGGAUAACUCCGCGAAAGCGGCGCUAAUACCGCAUGUGGACGCCCAUCGCCUGGUGGGUUCUCCAAAGUGGCAACACGCUUCGGGAUGGGCCUGCGGCCUAUCAGCUUGUUGGUGGGGUGACGGCCUACCAAGGCGACGACGGGUAGCUGGUCUGAGAGGAUGGUCAGCCAGACAGGGACUGAGACACGGCCCUGACUCCUUUGGGGGGCAGCAAUGAGGGAUCUUGCGCAAUGGGCGAAAGCCUGACGCAGCGACGCCGCGUGGGUGAUGAAGUCUCUCGGGAUGUAAAGCCCUUUUGUCGGGGACGAGAACGAACGGUACCCGGCGAAUAAG